rnacentral:rRNA from 1 species
UACAGAGGUCCCAAGCGUUGUUCGGAUUCACUGGGCGUAAAGGGUGCGUAGGUGGUCGGGUAAGUCUGAUGUGAAAUCUCCGAGCUUAACUCGGAAAUGGCAUUGGAUACUAUUCGGCUAGAGGGUUUGAGGGGGGACUGGAAUACUUGGUGUAGCAGUGAAAUGCGUAGAUAUCAAGUGGAACACCAGUGGCGAAGGCGAGUCCCUGGAAAACUCCUGACACUGAGGCACGAAAAGCUAGGGGAGCAAACCAGG